CUAGCGACUUCAGAGUUUGAUCCUGGCUCAGGAUGAACGCUGGCGGCGUGCCUAACACAUGCAAGUCGAGCGAGAUGUUUCCAUAUGAGGCUUCGGCGGAUUAUGGAGACGGAAAGCGGCGGACGGGUGAGUAACGCGUAGGUAACCUGCCCCAUACAGAGGGAUAGCCACUGGAAACGGUGAUUAAUACCUCAUAAGACUGAGGAUACACAUGUAUCUGCGGCCAAAGAUUUAUCGGUAUGGGAUGGACCUGCGUCUGAUUAGCUAGUUGGUGGGGUAACGGCUCACCAAGGCGACGAUCAGUAGCCGACCUGAGAGGGUGAUCGGCCACAUUGGAACUGAGACACGGUCCAA
rnacentral:rRNA from 1 species